rnacentral:rRNA from 1 species
UUUAAUUUUUAAUGGCCGCAGUAUUUUGACUGUGCAAAGGUAGCAUAAUCAUUAGUUUUUUAAUUAAAAGCUUGUAUGAAAGGCUGGACGAGGUAGAAUCUGUCUCUAUUUAAAUUAAAGUAGAAUUUAAUUUUUAAGUUAAAAAGCUUAAAUGUUAUUAAAAGACGAGAAGACCCUAUAGAUCUUUAUAAUUUAUUAAAUGAAAUUAAUUUAGAAUUAUUUAUUUUUUAUUUUAAUAAAUUAUUUUAUUGGGGUAAUAGAAAGAUUAAAUUAAUUCUUUUUUGUAAUAAACAUUGAUUUAUGAAUAUUAAAUGAUCCAGUUUUACUGAUUAUAAGAUUAAGUUACCUUAGGGAUAACAGCGUAAUUUUUUUAGAGAGUUCAUAUCGAUAAAAAAGUUUGCGACCUCGAUGUUGGAUUAAAGAUUAUUUUAGGUGUAGAAGCUUAAUAAUUUUGGUCUGUUCGACCAUUAAAUCUUUACAUGAUCUGAGUUCAGACCGGUGUAAGCCAGGUCGGUUUCUAUCUUUAAUAAAAUAAAAUAUUUUAGUACGAAAGGACCAAAUAUUAAAUAUAUUUAUAUUUAAUUUAUUGAAUAUUAUUAAAGUUGUAAUUAUUUUGGCAGAUUAGUGCAAUGAAUUUAGAAUUCAUUUAUGUAAUUUAUUUACAAAUAAUACUUGUUUUAUAUAGAUAUUGUUUUUUCUUUAGUAUGUAUAUUAUUAUUAAUUAUUUGUGUUUUAGUGGGGGUUGCUUUUUUAACUUUAUUGGAACGUAAGGU